GACAGAGGGUGCAAACGUUGUUCGGAAUUAUUGGGCGUAAAGAGCGUGUAGGCGGUUUGGUAGGUCCGCUGUGAAAACUCGAGGCUCAACCCCGAGACGCCGGUGGAAACCAUCAGACUAGAGUCCGGAAGAGGAGAGUGGAAUUCCUGGUGUAGCGGUGAAAUGCGCAGAUAUCAGGAAGAACACCCGUGGCUAAGGCGGCUCUCUAGUACGGUACUGACGCUGAGACGCGAAAGCGUGGGGAGCGAACAGG
rnacentral:rRNA from 1 species